CGCGACCCAGGUCAGGCGGGGC
rnacentral:rRNA from 3 species